AGCUUGCUCCUGGAUUCAGCGGCGGACGGGUGAGUAAUGCCUAGGAAUCUGCCUGGUAGUGGGGGAUAACGUCCGGAAACGGGCGCUAAUACCGCAUACGUCCUGAGGGAGAAAGUGGGGGAUCUUCGGACCUCACGCUAUCAGAUGAGCCUAGGUCGGAUUAGCUAGUUGGUGGGGUAAAGGCCUACCAAGGCGACGAUCCGUAACUGGUCUGAGAGGAUGAUCAGUCACACUGGAACUGAGACACGGUCCAGACUCCUACGGGAGGCAGCAGUGGGGAAUAUUGGACAAUGGGCGAAAGCCUGAUCCAGCCAUGCCGGGUGUGUGAAGAAGGUCUUCGGAUUGUAAAGCACUUUAAGUUGGGAGGAAGGGCAGUAAGUUAAUACCUUGCUGUUUUGACGUUACCAA
rnacentral:rRNA from 1 species